rnacentral:rRNA from 1 species
GACGAACGCUGGCGGCGUGCUUAACACAUGCAAGUCGAACGGAAAGGCCCUGCUUUUGUGGGGUGCUCGAGUGGCGAACGGGUGAGUAACACGUGAGUAACCUGCCCUUGACUUUGGGAUACUUCAGGAAACUGGGGCUAAUACCGGAUAGGAGCUCCUGCUGCAUGGUGGGGGUUGGAAAGUUUCGGCGGUUGGGGAUGGACUCGCGGCUUAUCAGCUUGUUGGUGGGGUAGUGGCUUACCAAGGCUUUGACGGGUAGCCGGCCUGAGAGGGUGACCGGCCACAUUGGGACUGAGAUACGGCCCAGACUCCUACGGGAGGCAGCAGUGGGGAAUAUUGCACAAUGGGCGUAAGCCUGAUGCAGCAACGCCGCGUGCGGGAUGACGGCCUUCGGGUUGUAAACCGCUUUCGCCUGUGACGAAGCGUGAGUGACGGUAAUGGGUAAAGAAGCACCGGCUAACUACGUG